UAAACCUUAAUGAAAAUUGAAAAAAAAAGACUUUUUGUAGAUUUUUAAAAUCACAAAUGUAAUUUUUUUCAAACUUGUGUACGUCAUAUGCUUUUUAAUAACACAGCCACGUCUGAACUUCAUUGCUGUCAUGUGGUUUGGCUGGGCAUGUGGUUUUGUUGCAGCCAGCUCUGGUGAAAGUGAAUUUGGAGCUGCUGCAUGUAGUCUAUGGAGCAGGUGUCGUCCUGAAGUGUGCAAGCAUUACCUAAAGUGCAACAGCAAUUGAAGAAUUCUCGAAAUGGACUUGGUGGCAAUGGUAUGCAUCAGACUGCUGUGCACAGUCUAUAGAUCUGGUGUGUCAUCCUGAAACUUAUAAGCCAGACCUGAAGUGGAAUUGCAAAAAGACUUCUUGAAAUGGUUUAACAGCCAGGUAAAAUCUCUUCUUCAUUGCUGUCUCACAAGUCACAACAUAUGGUUUUUUGGUUUCGGCCAGCCGGGUCAAGACUGCAAGAUGUUGUCUAAUCAGGUUCUGCUGUUGCAUGGAGUCUGUGAUGCCGCUGGUGAUCUGACAAAUAUUGUUGUGCUUGUUUCUGAUAAGUGUGUUGUUUGAAGUAGUCUAUGAUGUAGACAAGUGCAUAUUAUCUUCUUUUCUGGGCUCCCUUCUGUUCUGUGACCCCGUUACCCUUUCCUAUGACUAAUCGCUCCCCAGCAAAUCUGGUCUCGCACUGCUCUCUUCUUUCCUUGUCCAGGUCAUCUCCCUGGGCACAGUCAAUCAAUGCAGUCUCCCCCUGUCUUGAUAGACUGAAUUUUGCAUGGAAAAUUCAACAUUGAUAAUAUUAAGUUAAAGAAGGUAAAAUUGAUAUUUGUGAUAAGGAAUGAUAAACAUGUACAGUACAUAAUAGUAUAAAUAAGAUUUAAACAGCUGCAUUUUCUU
rnacentral:lncRNA from 1 species